UCCUCUGUAGUUCAGUCGGUAGAACGGUGGACUGUUAAUCCGUAUGUCACUGGUUCGAGUCCAGUCAGAGGAGCCA
rnacentral:tRNA from 5 species